AUACGGUCUGAGUGUAAAAAAAAAAAAAAAAAAAAAAAAAAAAAAAUCUGUUCUUAUCAGUUUAAUAUCUGAUACGUCCCCUAUCUGGGGACUACAUAUUAAACGGAUUUUUGAGACUGGGAGUCGGAGAAGGAGCUUGCUCCGUCCGCUCCACGCAUCGACCCGGUAUUGCAGUACGUCCGGGAACGGUGCGCCUCUA